AUUGAACGCUGGCGGCAGGCUUAACACAUGCAAGUCGAGCGGAGCGAGGGUGCUUGCACCUUAGCUUAGCGGCGGACGGGUGAGUAAUGCUUAGGAAUCUGCCUAUUAGUGGGGGACAACAUUCCGAAAGGAAUGCUAAUACCGCAUACGCCCUACGGGGGAAAGCAGGGGAUCUUCGGACCUUGCGCUAAUAGAUGAGCCUAAGUCGGAUUAGCUAGUUGGUGGGGUAAAGGCCUACCAAGGCGACAAUCUGUAGCGGGUCUGAGAGGAUGAUCCGCCACACUGGGACUGAGGCACGGCCCAGACGCCUACGGGAGGCAGCAGUGGGGAAUAUUGGACAAUGGGCGGAAGCCUGAUCCAGCCAUGCCGCGUGUGUGAAGAAGGCCUUUUGGUUGUAAAGCACUUUAAGCGAGGAGGAGGCUCUUAAGGUUAAUACCCUUGAUGAGUGGACGUUACUCGCAGAAUAAGCACCGGCUAACUCUGUGCCAGCCGCCGCCGUAAAAC
rnacentral:rRNA from 1 species